UUAAGCGACUAAGCGUACACGGUGGAUGCCCUGGCAGUCAGAGGCGAUGAAGGACGUGCUAAUCUGCGAUAAGCGUCGGUAAGGUGAUAUGAACCGUUAUAACCGGCGAUUUCCGAAUGGGGAAACCCAGUGUGAUUCGUCACACUAUCAUUAACUGAAUCCAUAGGUUAAUGAGGCGAACCGGGGGAACUGAAACAUCUAAGUACCCCGAGGAAAAGAAAUCAACCGAGAUUCCCCCAGUAGCGGCGAGCGAACGGGGAGNAGCCCAGAGCCUGAAUCAGUGUGUGUGUUAGUGGAAGCGUCUGGAAAGGCGCGCGAUACAGGGUGACAGCCCCGUACACAAAAAUGCACAUAUUGUGAGCUCGAUGAGUAGGGCGGGACACGUGGUAUCCUGUCUGAAUAUGGGGGGACCAUCCUCCAAGGCUAAAUACUCCUGACUGACCGAUAGUGAACCAGUACCGUGAGGGAAAGGCGAAAAGAACCCCGGCGAGGGGAGUGAAAAAGAACCUGAAACCGUGUACGUACAAGCAGUGGGAGCACGCUUAGGCGUGUGACUGCGUACCUUUUGUAUAAUGGGUCAGCGACUUAUAUUCUGUAGCAAGGUUAACCGAAUAGGGGAGCCGAAGGGAAACCGAGUCUUAACUGGGCGUUAAGUUGCAGGGUAUAGACCCGAAACCCGGUGAUCUAGCCAUGGGCAGGUUGAAGGUUGGGUAACACUAACUGGAGGACCGAACCGACUAAUGUUGAAAAAUUAGCGGAUGACUUGUGGCUGGGGGUGAAAGGCCAAUCAAACCGGGAGAUAGCUGGUUCUCCCCGAAAGCUAUUUAGGUAGCGCCUCGUGAAUUCAUCUCCGGGGGUAGAGCACUGUUUCGGCAAGGGGGUCAUCCCGACUUACCAACCCGAUGCAAACUGCGAAUACCGGAGAAUGUUAUCACGGGAGACACACGGCGGGUGCUAACGUCCGUCGUGAAGAGGGAAACAACCCAGACCGCCAGCUAAGGUCCCAAAGUCAUGGUUAAGUGGGAAACGAUGUGGGAAGGCCCAGACAGCCAGGAUGUUGGCUUAGAAGCAGCCAUCAUUUAAAGAAAGCGUAAUAGCUCACUGGUCGAGUCGGCCUGCGCGGAAGAUGUAACGGGGCUAAACCAUGCACCGAAGCUGCGGCAGCGACGCUUAUGCGUUGUUGGGUAGGGGAGCGUUCUGUAAGCCUGCGAAGGUGUGCUGUGAGGCAUGCUGGAGGUAUCAGAAGUGCGAAUGCUGACAUAAGUAACGAUAAAGCGGGUGAAAAGCCCGCUCGCCGGAAGACCAAGGGUUCCUGUCCAACGUUAAUCGGGGCAGGGUGAGUCGACCCCUAAGGCGAGGCCGAAAGGCGUAGUCGAUGGGAAACAGGUUAAUAUUCCUGUACUUGGUGUUACUGCGAAGGGGGGACGGAGAAGGCUAUGUUGGCCGGGCGACGGUUGUCCCGGUUUAAGCGUGUAGGCUGGUUUUCCAGGCAAAUCCGGAAAAUCAAGGCUGAGGCGUGAUGACGAGGCACUACGGUGCUGAAGCAACAAAUGCCCUGCUUCCAGGAAAAGCCUCUAAGCAUCAGGUAACAUCAAAUCGUACCCCAAACCGACACAGGUGGUCAGGUAGAGAAUACCAAGGCGCUUGAGAGAACUCGGGUGAAGGAACUAGGCAAAAUGGUGCCGUAACUUCGGGAGAAGGCACGCUGAUAUGUAGGUGAAGUCCCUUGCGGAUGGAGCUGAAAUCAGUCGAAGAUACCAGCUGGCUGCAACUGUUUAUUAAAAACACAGCACUGUGCAAACACGAAAGUGGACGUAUACGGUGUGACGCCUGCCCGGUGCCGGAAGGUUAAUUGAUGGGGUCAGCGCAAGCGAAGCUCUUGAUCGAAGCCCCGGUAAACGGCGGCCGUAACUAUAACGGUCCUAAGGUAGCGAAAUUCCUUGUCGGGUAAGUUCCGACCUGCACGAAUGGCGUAAUGAUGGCCAGGCUGUCUCCACCCGAGACUCAGUGAAAUUGAACUCGCUGUGAAGAUGCAGUGUACCCGCGGCAAGACGGAAAGACCCCGUGAACCUUUACUAUAGCUUGACACUGAACAUUGAGCCUUGAUGUGUAGGAUAGGUGGGAGGCUUUGAAGUGUGGACGCCAGUCUGCAUGGAGCCGGCCUUGAAAUACCACCCUUUAAUGUUUGAUGUUCUAACGUGGACCCGUGAUCCGGGUUGCGGACAGUGUCUGGUGGGUAGUUUGACUGGGGCGGUCUCCUCCUAAAGAGUAACGGAGGAGCACGAAGGUUGGCUAAUCCUGGUCGGACAUCAGGAGGUUAGUGCAAUGGCAUAAGCCAGCUUGACUGCGAGCGUGACGGCGCGAGCAGGUGCGAAAGCAGGUCAUAGUGAUCCGGUGGUUCUGAAUGGAAGGGCCAUCGCUCAACGGAUAAAAGGUACUCCGGGGAUAACAGGCUGAUACCGCCCAAGAGUUCAUAUCGACGGCGGUGUUUGGCACCUCGAUGUCGGCUCAUCACAUCCUGGGGCUGAAGUAGGUCCCAAGGGUAUGGCUGUUCGCCAUUUAAAGUGGUACGCGAGCUGGGUUUAGAACGUCGUGAGACAGUUCGGUCCCUAUCUGCCGUGGGCGCUGGAGAACUGAGGGGGGCUGCUCCUAGUACGAGAGGACCGGAGUGGACGCAUCACUGGUGUUCGGGUUGUCAUGCCAAUGGCACUGCCCGGUAGCUAAAUGCGGAAGAGAUAAGUGCUGAAAGCAUCUAAGCACGAAACUUGCCCCGAGAUGAGUUCUCCCUGACCCUUUAAGGGUCCUGAAGGAACGUUGAAGACGACGACGUUGAUAGGCCGGGUGUGUAAGCGCAGCGAUGCGUUGAGCUAACCGGUACUAAUGAACCGUGAGGCUUAACCUU
rnacentral:rRNA from 1 species